rnacentral:rRNA from 25 species
CUUGACGACCAUAGAGCGUUGGAACCACCUGAUCCCAUCCCGAACUCAGUAGUGAAACGACGCAUCGCCGAUGGUAGUGUGGAGUUUCUCCAUGUGAGAGUAGGUCAUCGUCAAGC